rnacentral:rRNA from 1 species
UCCAGACUUUGAUUCUGGCUCAGGAUGAACGCUGGCGGCAUGCCUAAUACAUGCAAGUCGAACGAGAGGAAGGAAAGCUUGCUUUUCUGAAUCUAGUGGCGAACGGGUGAGUAACACGUAGGUAACCUGCCCAUGUGCCCGGGAUAACUUCUGGAAACGGAUGCUAAAACCGGAUAGGUAGCAGACAAGCAUUUGACUGCUAUUAAAGUGGCUAAGGCCAUGAACAUGGAUGGACCUGCGGUGCAUUAGCUGGUUGGUGAGGUAACGGCCCACCAAGGCGACGAUGCAUAGCCGGCCUGAGAGGGCGGACGGCCACAUUGGGACUGAGACACGGCCCAAACUCCUACGGGAGGCAGCAGUAGGGAAUUUUCGUCAAUGGGGGGAACCCUGAACGAGCAAUGCCGCGUGAGUGAGGAAGGUCUUCGGAUCGUAAAGCUCUGUUGUAAGAGAAAAACGACAUUCAUAGGGAAUGAUGAGUGAGUGAUGGUAUCUUACCAGAAAGUCACGGCUAACUACGUGCCAGCAGCCGCGGUAAUACGUAGGUGGCGAGCGUUAUCCGGAAUGAUUGGGCGUAAAGGGUGCGUAGGUGGCAGAACAAGUCUGGAGUAAAAGGUAUGGGCUCAACCCGUACUGGCUCUGGAAACUGUUCAGCUAGAGAACAGAAGAGGACGGCGGAACUCCAUGUGUAGCGGUAAAAUGCGUAGAUAUAUGGAAGAACACCGGUGGCGAAGGCGGCCGUCUGGUCUGUUGCUGACACUGAAGCACGAAAGCGUGGGGAGCAAAUAGGAUUAGAUACCCUAGUAGUCCACGCCGUAAACGAUGAGAACUAGGUGUUGGGGGAAUAACUCAGUGCCGCAGUUAACGCAAUAAGUUCUCCGCCUGGGGAGUAUGCACGCAA